rnacentral:misc_RNA from 1 species
GAUGAAGAACGCAGUGAAAUGCGAUAAGUAAUGUGAAUUGCAGAAUUCAGUGAAUCAUCGAAUCUUUGAACGCACCUUGUGCCCUUUGGCCAUUCCGAAGGGCAUGCCUGUUUGAGUAUCAUGAACACCUCAACUCUUCAUGGUUUUCCGUGAUGAGCUUGGACUUUGGGGGUCUUGCUGGCCUAUGGUCAGCUCCUCUAAAAUAAAUCAGCUUGCCAGUGUUUGGUGGGUAUCACAGGUGUGAUAACUAUCUACGCUUGUGGUUUUCCACCAGGUAACCUUCAGCAGUGGAGGUUCGCUGGAGCUCACAGAUGUGUCUCUCCUCAGUGAGGACAGCUCUUUGAAUGUUUGAUCUCAAAUCAGGUAGGACUACCCGCUGAACUUAAGCAUAUCAAUAAGCGGAGGA